rnacentral:tRNA from 1 species
AAUAAUAGAAAGAGAAAAAGGAUAAAGAUCCAAUCUCUCAUCGAUUUGGUACUAACAUAAUCUCGAUUCCUAAUCGAAUAGCAAGUGGACUGUACUUAUUGGGAUUGUAGUUCAAUCGGUUAGAGUACCGCCCUGUCAAGACGGAAGUUGCGGGUUCGAGCCCCGUCAGUCCCG